GACGAACCGUGCGAACGUUAUUCGGAAUCACUGGGCUUAAAGCGCGUGUAGGCGGAUGAGCACGUCUGUCGCUGAAAUCCCCCGGCUCAACCGGGGAACGGGCGCGGAUACGGCUCGUCUCGAGGGCGUAGGGGACCUGGAACUUCCGGUGGAGCGGUGAAAUGCGUUGAGAUCGGAAGGAACGCCCGUGGCGAAAGCGAGGUCCUGGACGCCUACUGACGCUGAGACGCGAAAGCCAGGGGAGCGGAACGGG
rnacentral:rRNA from 1 species